ensembl:lncRNA
AGAGCCAGCUUCCCAUGCAGACAUACUGCUCACAGAAUCAUACCUGCAGUCUAAACCAACACCUCAUUAGCUGUAAUUAACCAAUAUCUCCUACAGCUCCAUAAUUUGGGGGGAUUUUCAUUUAUUUUUUAUUUUUUUGCAAAGGAGAUUGAAAACCUGCAUUUUAAAAUAAACAAUGCACUUUCUUACACCGACAGUUGUAAAACUGUUUUGAGCAGGUAGCUGCAUGUAAUUUAUUUUACAGAUUUAUUUCUUAGAGUGUGUAAUGUAAAUUAUGAACAAAUACGGGAAAAAACUGUUGAAGAGAAGAAUAAAAGAAGGCUACAUGAGUUAACCACUAUAUAUCUACUUUAAACACAGGUCUGCAACUCUGAAAACUUCCCCGUCCUUAAAUCUUGGCACAAUUUUUUAUUUUACAAAUCAGAAACCACAGACCAAAGACUGUAGUCAUUGCUGGACCUCAAAUCAUAUGGAGAAAACCAAUCUUCUGAGAUUUGUGUCUUGUAUACAAAUCAAGGUAUCUCAUCUCUUUACCACAAAGGUAAGUCCUUGGCAUCUUUCAGCUGAGUUGUAAGAAGGUCGAUGUCUGCCUGUUUCACUGGAAAGGUUGCCAGCUGUUCAAUCUUCUGCACCUUUGUGGGGAUGAAGGCAACCAGGUCACUGUAGCCUUUGAGAAAUGCAUCACCAGCUGUAAGGAAUUCUCUCAUGUCUUCUCCA